ensembl:rRNA 5S_rRNA 5S ribosomal RNA
GCUUACGGCCAUACACUCUGAAAAAGCCUGAUCUCAUCUGACCUUGGAAGCAAAGCAGAGUUGGGCCUGGUUAGUACUUGGUUGGGAGACUGAAUGGGAAUACUAGGUGCUGUAAGCU